GAUGAACUCUGGCGGCGUGCCUAAUACAUGCCAGUCGAGCGAACGGACGAGAAGCUUGCUUUUCUGAUGUUAGCGGCGGACGGGUGAGUAACACGUGGAUAACCUACCUAUAAGACUGGGAUAACUUCGGGAAACCGGCGCUAAUACCGGAUAAUAUUUUGAACCGCAUGGUUCAAAAGUGAAAGACGGUCUUGCUGUCACUUAUAGAUGGAUCCGCGCUGCAUUAGCUAGUUGGUAAGGUAACGGCUUACCAAGGCAACGAUGCAUAGCCGACCUGCGAGGGUGAUCGGCCACACUGGAACUGAGACACGGUCCAGACUCCUACGGGAGGCAGCAGUAGGGAAUCUUCCGCAAGGGGCGGAAGCCUGACGGAGCAGCGCCGCGUGAGGGAUGAAGGUCUUCGGAUCGUAAAACUCUGUUAUUGGGGAGGAACAUAUGUGUAAGUAACUGUGCACAUCUUGACGGUACCUAAUCAGAAAGCCACGGCUAACUACGUG
rnacentral:rRNA from 1 species